UGGGGAAUAUUGGACAAUGGGCGAAAGCCUGAUCCAGCCAUGCCGCGUGAGUGAUGAAGGCCCUAGGGUUGUAAAGCUCUUUUGUGCGGGAAGAUAAUGACGGUACCGCAAGAAUAAGCCCCGGCUAACUUCGUGCCAGCAGCCGCGGUAAUACGAAGGGGGCUAGCGUUGCUCGGAAUCACUGGGCGUAAAGGGUGCGUAGGCGGGUUUCUAAGACAGAGGUGAAAGCCUGGAGCUCAACUCCAGAACUGCCUUUGAUACUGGAAGUCUUGAGUAUGGCAGAGGUGAGUGGAACUGCGAGUGUAGAGGUGAAAUUCGUAGAUAUUCGCAAGAACACCAGUGGCGAAGGCGGCUCACUGGGCCAUUACUGACGCUGAGGCACGAAAGCGUGGGGAGCAAACAG
rnacentral:rRNA from 1 species